GAAAAGAGCUAAAGUUGCAGUGUGUCUGCCUAUCUACACUUGCUGUGCAGAAUAUCCUCCAACCUGUACAGCAGGCACAGACAGGCAGAUAAACAAAACAGAGCGC
rnacentral:pre_miRNA from 12 species